GCCGCCUCCUCGAAGCCCCUUCCCCACCUGCUUCGCUCAGGACCCCGGGAAGCUUCCGGGAGGGACUCUGCGCCGGGUCCCGCCUGGUGACCAGCUCGCGGAUGUGUUCCGCGGAGCCAUUGGAAUGCGGCGUGAUGACAUCCUUGGACUGGCCUGGUGGAUGAGGUACAGAAGCUUUGUGAGAAAAAUCCAUCUAGUUCUACAGAAAUGCAAAAACUGUUUCAAAUAAGAAAACCAUUGGAGCCGCCAAAAUGACGUCAGAUAUCCUGCCUCUGGAUGUCCCCGUGCUCUGAGAUCACGGACACAGGGUCACACCGUCUGUCUGACACAGGGGAAGAAUAACAAACAGAAUAAGGGGACAAAAG